rnacentral:piRNA from 1 species
UUCAUCUUGGAUAAACAUGGUGGUUUGGUUC